rnacentral:rRNA from 1 species
UAUGUGAUCGUCUCUCGCAUAUCAAUAAGCGGAGGAAAAGAAACUAACAAGGAUUCCCCUAGUAACGGCGAGUGAAGCGGGAAGAGCUCAAAUUUGAAAUCUUAAAGGGUUUCCCUUUACGAAUUGUAGUUUAAAGAAGUGUUUUCUGUUGAGGUUUUGGUAAAAGUUCUUUGGAAUAGGACAUCAUAGAGGGUGAGAAUCCCGUAUUUGACCUUUACUUUCAACUUUGUGAUACACUUUCAAAGAGUCGGAUUGUUUGGGAAUGCAGUCCAAAAUGGGUGGUAAAUUUCAUCUAAAGCUAAAUAUUGGCGAGAGACCGAUAGCGAACAAGUACCGUGAGGGAAAGAUGGAAAAGAACUUUGAAAAGAGAGUUAAACAGUACGUGAAAUUGUCAAAAGGGAAGCGUUUGACACCAGUGUUGUUUUUCUGAAAAUCAAUUAAAGAACUGUUUAUGCUAAGCUGUUUAGACUUUAUCAGCUAAUCUGUUUAGUUUUGAGCUUUUCUUUAAUGCACUUUUCAGUUAACAAGUCAACAUCAAUUUCUUUUGCUGUAAAAAAGCUUGAGGAAGGUGGCCUGAGAUUCGUCUUAAGUGUUUAUAGCCUCUUGCCUAUGCAGUCGGAGAGAUUGAGGUCUGCAGCGUAGAUCCUUCGGGGCUGAAUGCAUUUGUGCUAAGUUAUAGCAUUUUAUAGACAACUUGUUGACUAUGAUUUGUCUUGUAGCUUACUCGCUUAUGUUAUUUUACCUACGCUUAGGAUGUUGAUCUCUCACAGUCGAGC